rnacentral:rRNA from 1 species
AUGAAACUCAUCGGUUGGAACUGCCGGGGACUUGGGAACGGCCCGGCAGUUCGGAGCCUCCUCGAAUUGGGGAGGGCGGAGGAGCCCGACAUACUGUUUUUGGCGGAGACAAAAAUGUCUAUGAAGGAGUUGGAACGCUUUCGGUGGAUGCUUGGGCUGACACAGAUGACUGCAUGGAGCGCGGAUGGAAGGAGCAGGGGGGUGGUACUGUUUUGGCGUAGGGGGAUCGAU